UCGGGUGUAAACCUCUUUCAGCAGGGACGAAGCGUAAGUGACGGUACCUGCAGAAGAAGCGCCGGCCAACUACGUGCAGCAGCCGCGGUAAGACGUAGGGCGCGAGCGUGUCCGGAUUAUUGGGCGUAAAGAGCUCGUAGGCGGCUUGUCGCGUCGACCGUGAAAACCUGGGGCUCAACCCCAGGCCUGCGGUCGAUACGGGCAGGCUAGAGUUCGGUAGGGGAGACUGGAAUUCCUGGUGUAGCGGUGAAAUGCGCAGAUAUCAGGAGGAACACCGGUGGCGAAGGCGGGUCUCUGGGCCGAUACUGACGCUGAGGAGCGAAAGCGUGGGGAGCGAACAGGAUUAGAUACCCUGGUAGUCCACGCUGUAAACGUUGGGCGCUAGGUGUGGGGGGCCUCUCCGGUUCCCUGUGCCGCAGCUAACGCAUUAAGCACCCCGCCUGGGGAGUACGGCCGCAAGGCUAAAACUCAAAGGAAUUGACGGGAGCCCGCACAAGCGGCGGAGCAUGCGGAUUAAUUCGAUGCAACGCGAAGAACCUUACCUGGGUUUGACAUGGCCGCAAAACUGUCAGAGAUGGCAGGUCCUUCGGGGGCGGUCACAGGUGGUGCAUGGCUGUCGUCAGCUCGUGUCGUGAGAUGUUGGGUUAAGUCCCGCAACGAGCGCAACCCUCGUUCGAUGUUGCCAGCGCGUUAUGGCGGGGACUCAUCGAAGACUGCCGGGGUCAACUCGGAGGAAGGUGGGGAUGACGUCAAGUCAUCAUGCCCCUUAUGUCCAGGGCUUCACGCAUGCUACAAUGGCCGGUACAAUGGGCUGCGAUACCGUGAGGUGGAGCGAAUCCCAAAAAGCCGGUCUCAGUUCGGAUCGGGGUCUGCAACUCGACCCCGUGAAGUCGGAGUCGCUAGUAAUCGCAGAUCAGCAACGCUGCGGUGAAUACGUUCCCGGGCCUUGUACACACCGCCCGUCACGUCACGAAAGUCGGCAACACCCGAAGCCGGUGGCCCAACCCUUGUGGAGGGAGCCGUCGAAGGUGGGGCUGGA
rnacentral:rRNA from 1 species